GCCGAAGGGCCGAAGAGCCGAAGAGGACACCCGCAUGCGGUGAUUGGUCGGCUGGCGGUGGAGGAAAUCCGUAUCUGAUUGGCAGGCGAACAAGCAUUGAAGGUGAGCUACAGAAAUAAAGUGUCCGGUCUGAGGAACAACAGAAAGAACUGCACGUGGAAACGAAUUAUAUGGACAGGCCAAACGUCAGUUUUAAGAUAUCAGAGAGACUGUGAUUCAGCCAGAAAAAUGAAUAUUACUAAAAAAUGGAUAAAAGGAUUAUACCCUUUAUGAGGAG